rnacentral:rRNA from 1 species
CGCCGCGUGGAGGAUGAAGUAUCUUGGUACGUAAACUCCUUUCGAUAGGGAAGAUAAUGACGGUACCUAUAGAAGAAGCCCUGGCUAACUUCGUGC